ensembl:snRNA U6 U6 spliceosomal RNA
UUGUGCUCACUUCAGCAACAGAUGUAUUAAAAUUGGAACAACCCGAAGAUUAGCAAGGUCCCUGCAAAAGGAUGACACAUAAAUUCAUGAAUCACUCUAUAUUUUU